rnacentral:rRNA from 1 species
AUUGAACGCUGGCGGCAUGCCUUACACAUGCAAGUCGAACGGUAACGCGGGGCAACCUGGCGACGAGUGGCGAACGGGUGAGUAAUGUAUCGGAACGUGCCCAGUAGUGGGGGAUAGCCCGGCGAAAGCCGGAUUAAUACCGCAUACGACCUAAGGGUGAAAGCGGGGGAUCGCAAGACCUCGCGCUAUUGGAGCGCCCCAUAUCAGAUUAGCUAGUUGGUGGUGUAAAAGCCUACCAAGGCGACGAUCUGUAGCUGGUCUGAGAGGACGACCAGCCACACUGGGACUGAGACACGGCCCAGACUCCUACGGGAGGCAGCAGUGGGGAAUUUUGGACAAUGGGCGAAAGCCUGAUCCAGCCAUGCCGCGUGCGGGAAGAAGGCCUUCGGGUUGUAAACCGCUUUUGUCAGGGAAGAAAAGGCUCGAACUAAUACUUUGGGCUCAUGACGGUACCUGAAGAAUAAGCACCGGCUAACUACGUGCCAGCCGCCGCGGUAACAC